GGUGGAAAGGUUUUUUGGGAGGCAGGGCAGUGAAAGAACAAGGUAUAAAAUAUAAACUAAGUGAAGAAUUUCAUGUUCAAUCACGAUACAUUGCAAUAACUUAUGACAUUCUAUUGCUAUAUAAUCUUGAAAUCGAUACUACAUUGUUGCUUCCCUAAAAUUAUUUGUAAAGAAAAGAAAUGCAUACCUUUUUUCUCCUUAUGAAGAAUUGGGCUACUGGCAAACUGAAAGUACAACCACAAAAACAACUGUAGUAUGGUUAAAAAUGGAAGCCCUUCUCUAAUUUAUUCUAUUCAUCCUCUACCUGAUCAUAAUGAUGACCGUUUCAGCUGAAUCAGUCAUCAGGUGAAUAUCAGAUCAUUGCCAGCAACAAACCGCUUUAAAACUUUUAAAUAAAAUAUGAUGACUGAAUUUUCAGAGAUGGAGCAAAUAUCCAAAGAAGGUCCUCAAAACCAUUUAAGUUUCAAGAUUUUCCACAUUCUAGCCAUUUUGAAGUUGCAAAAUGGUACUUGUAUUGAAGUAUUAAGAAAUUAAAGUGGGCAUAUCCAAAUGCAAAAUUCUAUCCUUUUUGUUUGCUCUUCUG
rnacentral:misc_RNA from 1 species